rnacentral:rRNA from 1 species
UGCCAGACUCCUACGGGAGGCAGCAGUGGGGGAUAUUGCACAAUGGGGGGAACCCUGAUGCAGCGACGCCGCGUGGGUGAAGGAGCGUUUCGGCGCGUAAAGCCCUAUCGGCAGGGAAGAAGGAGGACGGUACCUGACUAAGAAGCCCCGACUAACUACGUGCCAGCAGCCGCGGUAAUACGUAGGGGGCAAGCGUUAUCCGGAUUUACUGGGUGUAAAGGGGGCGCAGACGGCAGCGCAAGCCAGGAGUGAAAGCCCGGGGCCCAACCCCGGGACUGCUCUGGAAACUGUGUAACUAGAGUGCAGGAGAGGUAAGCGGAGUUCCUAGUGUAGCGGUGAAAUGCGUAGAUAUUAGGAGGAACACCAGUGGCGAAGGCGGCUUACUGGACUGUAACUGACGUUGAGGCUCGAAAGCGUGGGGAGCAAACAGGAUUAGAUACCCUCGUA